rnacentral:rRNA from 1 species
CGUCUAGGCGGGGAAUUAAGUUAGGUGUGAAAGCUAUGGGCUCAACCCAUAAACUGCAUCUAAAACUGGUUCUCUUGAGUUCGGGAGAGGAGAGCGGAAUUCCAGGUGUAGCGGUGAAAUGCGUAGAUAUCUGGAAGAACACCAGUGGCGAAGGCGGCUCUCUGGCCUAGAACUGACGCUGAAGCGCGAAAGCGUGGGGAGCGAACAG